rnacentral:rRNA from 1 species
GUGUCAGCAGCCGCGGUAAUACGUAGGUGGCAAGCGUUGUCCGGAUUUACUGGGCGUAAAGCGCCCGCAGGCGGCUCGGCAAGUUUCAGGUGAAAUCUCCCGGCUCAACCGGGAGCGGUCUUGGAAAACUGCCGGGCUUGAGGCAGGGAGAGGGAUGCGGAAUUCCGUGUGUAGCGGUGAAAUGCGUAGAUAUACGGAGGAACACCAGUGGCGAAGGCGGCAUCCUGGCCCUGACCUGACGCGGAGGGGCGAAAGCGUGGGGAGCAAACCGGACUAGAUACCCGGGUAGUCCACGCUGUAAACGAUGAGUACUAGGUGUUGGGGGUAUCGACCCCCUCAGUGCCGAAGCUAACGCAAUAAGUACUCCGCCUGGGGACUACGGCCGCAAGGCUAAAACUCAAAUGAAUUGACGGGG